rnacentral:lncRNA from 10 species
CUAUUCUCAGCUGCACAGUUUUUGAGCCUCUUCCCAAGCAAUAGCAUAUUUUCCUGAUCAGCUUCUCCAGGGGCUCAGGUUCACUCCUUUUUGCUGAACAUCUUCUGUUUCUGUGCUCCUUGGCCCUGGGGCUGAGUACAUGGGUGUAUUCCUCCUACAAUCAUAUUUUAUGGCCUGCCAAUUUCCUUCUGGGGUGGGGGGGGCGGGGAACAGGACGACUCUGUUUAGUAAUACACAAUGCUUUAGAAUAAGGCAAAAGCCUUAGAAUCAUGCCUUUUGAGUCUGAGCCCUACCUUCCUGGGUCUCUCCCCAGUCCUUUAGCCUUAAGGCUAGGACAGUAAACAACAACCUGGACAUGACGCCCGGAUUAUCAGCCCUGCCUCCAGUUGGCAGCCCAGGUGGCCUUGUUGUAGAUAUAUGAGUGGGUUUGCUUCAGGAGAAGCCUGUGGGAACAGGCAUCUCAGUCUUUUAGCUUCAAAUUCCUCUGGUUUUUUCCCAGAUAUCUUCUCAUUGCCAGGAUCUCACUACAAGCCUACAGUUCUAGCUUUACCCCUGCCACUGAAAAGCUAUGGGACAUUAGCCAAAUCCUCAGCUUCCCUGGGCCUGGUUUCUCCAUUGAAAAGUAGGGAUAAUAACACUUGCCCUGUCUGAUGCAUGAGGGAGUUUACAAGGAUCGCUGUGAGCAGGGUCCCCUCGGCUGAGUGGCAGAUGUAGGCUCACUGCUCUGCAGCCCCGAGGGGCUGGCCAGCUCAGAGUGCAGAAGAGUUCCUCUCCAUGGGUCUAGUCACCCAUCCGUCUGACCUGGACGCUGUCAUAGCUCAUCCUUGGGCUUCGAUUCACUGCCUGAGAGAGACUCUUGUGCAGGUUCGGGGGGGCCCUGCUGGGCAUCCCACCCCACACUGAUGCUCCCAUGUGACCUGAGGCCUCCUCUCCCUACCAAUGCUCUCUGUCUGUUCCCCAGUUUGAGACAAAAGUCUAAUUUCUGUGUCCUCUGCCUGGCACAAGCAACAGUACCUCUGAGGUACUGGAAUAACCAGGCUUUCCUUAAGGGAAAAAGCCCUGCUCCUCCCCCAUCCCAACCCCCAUUAGUCUCUAGGACAGAUAAUCUGAUGAUUCUCAAAAGU